rnacentral:rRNA from 1 species
AGUGAACGCUGGCGGUAGGCUUAACACAUGCAAGUCGAACGGCAGCACAGUAAGAGCUUGCUCUUACGGGUGGCGAGAGGCGGACGGGAGAGGAAAAUAUCGGAAUCUACUUUUUCGUGGGGGUUAACGUAGGUAAACCUAAGCUCAUAUCGCAUACGACCUACGGGUGAAAGGAGUGGAAAUUCUGACCUUGCGCGAUUGAAUGCGCCGCUGUCGGAUUAGCUAGUUGGCGGGGUAAAGGCCAACCAAGGCGACGAUCCGUAGCUGGUCUGAGAGGAUGAUCGGCCACACUGGAAGGGAGACACGGUCCAGACGCCUACGAGAGGCAGCAGUGGGGAAUGUUAGACAGAGGGCGCGAACCUGGUCCAGCCAUACCACGUGUGUGGAAGAGACCUUCGGGUUGUGAAGCCCUUUUGUGGGGUGAGAAAAGCUGCAGGUUAAGACGCCGCUGGACUGACGGUACCGGGUAAAGAAGCACCGGCUAACUUCGUG